GGGCGGCCUAGAUGGAGCUGCGCUCUUUAAAACCGGCUAAAAAAACAGCAGCCGGCUAAAAAAACCCAGGAAUUAUGCUAAUUCCACAUUAGGGCUGCGGAGCCGACAAGCGGCGGAUGGUGAAUGUUAAGUCCCUCCAGCCACACGCGCUGCUCUGCGGUGCACCGGGAACACCGACCCCAGCGCUCGCCUGCAGGAACCCCCAUUUUAAGCACAACGCCCUCCUGACAUAAGGACCGGAGGUUCAUGCUCAGACCAAAGUUAAUCCAGGCUGUAAGCGGACUGCCCACACCACACGCACGAAUAAACCCAAGAUCAAGGUCCAGACACAGGAACACCCGCAGGACAGCAGAGCAAACUCGGUCUCUGCCGGCUUGAAGUCUCAGGCUGCAACUCAGCCAUUAGGCAGACACUCCACAGCCUCUUCCCAACAAUUUCCAUAGAUAACUGCUCUAACAGCGGCUGAAACAGAGAAGCCCAGCAUCUUGUAACAUAAAAAAAAAAAUAUCUGCGGGAUGUUUCCAGAUGUUACCCUGAAUGUGCAGAAACAGUAAAGAAUACCGCUCAGCAAAAGGAUAUGGUGACAUUGGUACGAUCCUGCUGUGAGGAGACCUGCUCCUGAGUCAGCCCAACACAGAUGCACAAAUUGCCAAGAGAGAUGAAGAAUUUUCUCUCCCAUUACUACAAAACAGCAGAUGCUCCAGAGCUCCUCUCUGUCCUCUUUCAAAAACCCAGUCCAGUAUGUUGAUGUCCAGCUAAUCCCCACUGCAACCACCAUCUACUAUUAUAUAUAUAUGUGGAUAUUUGAGGAAUCGAAAGGGUGAGCACUAAGCAACCAACCAAUGCUCCCAGCACGCUUAAACGAGAGUGCUUCACACCAUUUACUACGCAGUUUAAACCACCUAGCUGAUUGCAGCAAGAUACAGUUCUACCUUAUGUCAACCACGGAAGAUGUUAAAGUCACUCAAGUCAUGGUAUGACCGGAUAUCCAGAAAUACCAUCUGAAAACUCCAACUCUGAAGCUGCCAAGGCAGCUUUGAAUAAUAAUUCAACCAUCUC